UCUAGAAAUGGACUAUAUAUGGGAAAC
rnacentral:piRNA from 1 species